rnacentral:rRNA from 1 species
UAGGUGGGUUUGUAAGUCAGAUGUGAAACCCUUCUGUUCAACGGAAGAAUUGCAUCUGAAACUACAAGUCUUGAGUGUAGGAGGGGAGAAUGGAACUUCUGGUGGAGCGGUGAAAUCCGUAGAUAUCAGAAGGAACGCCGGCGGCGAAAGCGAUUCUCUGGCCUAUUACUGACACUCAGUGUGCGAAAGCUAGGGGAGCAAACGGGACUAGAUACCCCGGUAGUCCUAGCCGUAAACGAUGGGCACUAAGUAGAGGGGAUUACCGACGUUCUCUCUGCCGUAGCUAACGCAUUAAGUGCCCCGCCUGGGGAGUACGGCCGCAAGGCUAAAACUCAAAAGAAUUGACGGGGGCUCGCACAAGCGGUGGAGCAUGUGGCUUAAUUCGAUGCAACGCGAAGAACCUUACCGGGGCUUGACAUGGUAGAAGUAGGAACCCGAAAGGGUAACGAACGGUAUCCAGUCCGUGACCAUCACAGGUGUUGCAUGGCUGUCGUCAGCUCGUGUCGUGAGACGUUGGGUUAAGUCCCCUAACGAGCGAAACCCUUGUUUUUAGUUACCAGCGGGUUAUGCCGGGUACUCUAGAAAGACUGCCGUCGUCAAGACGGAGGAAGGUGGGGAUGACGUCAAGUCAUCAUGGCCCUUAUGCCCCGGGCUGCACACGUGCUACAAUGGUCGGUACAAACGGAAGCGAAGCCGAGAGGUGAAGCGAAUCCAAGC